GACGAACGCUGGCGGCGUGCUUAACACAUGCAAGUCGAACGAAGUGGCGAACGGGUGAGUAACGCGUAAUCAACCUGCCCUUCAGAGGGGGACAACAGUUGGAAACGACUGCUAAUACCGCAUACUGAAGUAGGGGAUUGCGUCUGAUUGGCUAGUUGGCGGGGUAACGGCCCACCAAGGCGAUGAUCAGUAGGCGGUCUGAGAGGAUGAACGGCGACAUUGGGACCGAGACACGGCCCAGACUCCGACGGGAGGCAGCAGGGGGGAAUCUUCCGAAAUGGACGAAAGUCUGACGGAGCAACGCCGCGUGAGGGAUGACGGCCUUCGGGGUGUAAAGCUCUGUUAAUCGGGACGCGGUACCGGAAUAGAAAGCCACGGCUAACUACGUGCCAGCAGCCGCGGUAAUAC
rnacentral:rRNA from 1 species